rnacentral:tRNA from 1 species
UAGAACUCGCGACAACUCAUCACAUCUCCUGCAUGCAACACAGACACUUUAAUUAAGCCAGAGUCCU